CCGGCGACCGGCGCACGGGUGAGUAACACGUAUGGAACCUGCCCGCAGCAGGGGGAUAAGCGGAAGAAAUUCCGUCUAAUACCGCGUAACAACGUUGGGAGGCAUCUCCCGAUGUUUAAAGAUUUAUCGGCUGCGGAUGGCCAUGCGGCGCAUUAGCUAGUCGGCGGGGUAACGGCCCACCGAGGCGACGAUGCGUAGGGGUUCUGAGAGGAAGGUCCCCCGCACUGGUACUGAGACACGGACCAGACUCCUACGGAAGGCAGCAG
rnacentral:rRNA from 1 species